GCACUGAUAGUUCAGUGGUAGAAUACCUGCCUUCCAUUCCCUGAGAGUUUGGGUUUGUAAGCAUGUGGCACGGGUUCGAUUCCCGUUCAGUGCA